ACUCCUACGGGAGGCAGCAGUGGGGAAUAUUGCACAAUGGGCGCAAGCCUGAUGCAGCCAUGCCGCGUGUAUGAAGAAGGCCUUCGGGUUGUAAAGUACUUUCAGCAGUGAGGAAGGUGGGUAUGUUAAUAGCAUACUCAUUUGACGUUAGCUGCAGAAGAAGCACCGGCUAACUCCGUGCCAGCAGCCGCGGUAAUACGGAGGGUGCGAGCGUUAAUCGGAAUUACUGGGCGUAAAGCGCAUGCAGGUGGUUUGUUAAGUCAGAUGUGAAAGCCCGGGGCUCAACCUCGGAAUUGCAUUUGAAACUGGCAAACUAGAGUACUGUAGAGGGGGGUAGAAUUUCAGGUGUAGCGGUGAAAUGCGUAGAGAUCUGAAGGAAUACCGGUGGCGAAGGCGGCCCCCUGGACAGAUACUGACACUCAGAUGCGAAAGCGUGGGGGAGCAAACAGGAUUAGAUACCCUGGUAGGCUCUAGC
rnacentral:rRNA from 1 species